rnacentral:rRNA from 1 species
GACGAACGCUGGCGGCGUGCUUAACACAUGCAAGUCGAACGAAGUGGCGCACGGGUGAGUAACGCGUAAUCAACCUGCCCUUCAGAGGGGGACAACAGUUGGAAACUACUGCUAAUACCGCAUACUGAAUUAGGGGAUUGCGUCUGAGUAGCUAGUUGGAGGGGUAACGGCCCACCAAGGCGAGGAUACGUAUGCGGUCUGAGAGGAGGAACGGCCAAACUGGGACUGAGACACGGCCCAGACUCCUACGGGAGGCAGCAGUUGGGAAUCUUCCGCAAUGGACGAAAGUCUGACGGAGCAACGCCGCGUGAGUGAUGACGGCCUUCGGGUUGUAAAGCUCGGUUAAUCGGGACGCGGUACCGAAAUAGAAAGCCACGGCUAACUACGUGCCAGCAGCCGCGGUAAUAC